CGAACGCUGGCGGCAGGCUUAACACAUGCAAGUCGAACGCCCCGCAAGGGGAGUGGCAGACGGGUGAGUAACGCGUGGGAAUCUACCCAGAUCUACGGAACAACUGAGGGAAACUUGAGCUAAUACCGUAUACGUCCGUGAGGAGAAAGAUUUAUCGCCCUUAGACGGGCCCGCGUCGGAUUAGCUAGUUGGUGGGGUAACGGCCUACCAAGGCGACGAUCCGUAGCUGAUCUUAGAGGAUGAUCAGCCACACUGGGACUGAGACACGGCCCAGACUCCUACGGGAGGCAGCAGUGGGGAAUCUUGGACAAUGGGCGCAAGCCUGAUCCAGCCAUGCCGCGUGAGUGAAGAAGGUCUUCGGAUUGUAAAGCUCUUUUGCCAGGGACGAUAAUGACGGUACCUGGAGAAUAAGCCCCGGCAAACUUCGUGCCAGCAGCCGCGGUAAUCUGAUGGCGCGAGG
rnacentral:rRNA from 1 species